rnacentral:tRNA from 1 species
CGCGAGCUGCCGGGGGACCGGGACGACGCCGCCAUCGUCGGCGCCGUCAUCGCCCUCGGUUCGAGCCUGGGCUUCACGG